GACGAACGCUGGCGGCGUGCUUAACACAUGCAAGUCGAACGGAAAGGCCCUGCUUUUGUGGGGUGCUCGAGUGGCGAACGGGUGAGUAACACGUGAGUAACCUGCCCUUGACUUUGGGAUAACUUCAGGAAACUGGGGCUAAUACCGGAUAGGAGCUCCUGCUGCAUGGUGGGGGUUGGAAAGUUUCGGCGGUUGGGGAUGGACUCGCGGCUUAUCAGCUUGUUGGUGGGGUAGUGGCUUACCAAGGCUUUGACGGGUAGCCGGCCUGAGAGGGGGACCGGCCACAUUGGGACUGAGAGACGGCCCAGACUCCUACGGGAGGCAGCAGUGGGGAAUAUUGCACAAUGGGCGGAAGCGUGAUGCAGCAACGCCGCGUGCGGGAUGACGGCCUUCGGGUUGUAAACCGCUUUCGCCUGUGACGAAGCGUGAGUGACGGUAAUGGGUAAAGAAGCACCGGCUAACUACGUG
rnacentral:rRNA from 1 species